GUAAAAAUCGUAGGGAAUACUGGAUGUGACUUGCAAGUGAUGGAAGUCAACCACAUGUAGCUUUCCAUCAAUUUCAACUACUAAGUGAGAAAAAAAGGAUGGUCCGUUCUCUUCACAAUGGUCUGCUGCCCAGACUCUGUGGAGCAUGGUUAUAGCUGAGGCUGCAGAAUCGUGUCACGUCAUGGAGUCAACUUGGAUCCCAUGCCAGAAGUCUGCCAUGAAUUUCACUUAGAAGAGUCUUCUGGCAAGACAUCUCAGUCUUUGAUACCUUUGCAAAUUAAGCCGCCAAGACCGGACACGACAACAGUGGUAUGGAAGGUCAUUUUUGUAAUAUUUUUCUGUCUUAAAUUUAGAACUCAAAAAAAAGCCUGAAGGUGUUUUCAAUUGGCAACUUUGUUUUUCACCUCACUGUUUAACCACUCUAGUGUUAAUUCCCACACUGAUAUA